rnacentral:rRNA from 1 species
UGGGGAAUAUUGCACAAUGGGCGAAAGCCUGAUGCAGCAACGCCGCGUGAGUGAUGAAGGCUUUCGAGUCGUAAAGCUCUUUGAUCAGGGAUGAUAAUGACAGUACCUGAAAAACAAGCCACGGCUAACUACGUGCCAGCAGCCGCGGUAAUACGUAGGUGGCGAGCGUUGUCCGGAUUUACUGGGCGUAAAGGAUGCGUAGGUGGAUAGUUAAGUGGGAUGUGAAAUCCCCGGGCUCAACCCGGGAACUGCAUACCAAACUGGUUAUCUAGAGUGCAGGAGAGGAAAGUGGAAUUCAUAGUGUAGCGGUGAAAUGCGUAGAUAUUAUGAGGAACACCAGUGGCGAAGGCGACUUUCUGGACUGUAACUGACACUGAGGCAUGAAAGCGUGGGUAGCAAACA